rnacentral:lncRNA from 1 species
UUCAACUCAAAUCCCCUUUGGUCUCAAUGUGCCCUUUGCGGGUUUUCACCUUGGCCUCUCCUUUUUCCUUUUCUUUUUGUCAUUUUUAUUUUUUUCUUUUUAUUUUUUUCUUUUUUUGGUUUUUUGUGGGUUUUUUUUGUUUUUUGAAUUGGAUCUUGAACGCAUAGGAUUAGGCAAAUCCUUGUUAUCCCUUUUUAUCAGAACUAAUAUUUUCUCGAUAAAGUCUCCUACAUAAGAUCUUCUACUUUUAUCUUGUAUGCGAAAAAUCUUCUUUGGUAUCAGAUUUCUUUCAUAGAGCCUUUUAGGGCGAAAUUUAACUAUGACAUAAACUUUGGAUUUUCCUCUUC